GGAGCAAACAGGAUUAGAUACCCUGGUAGUCCACGCUGUAAACGAUGUCGAUUUGAAGGUUGUUCCCUUGAGGAGUGGCUUUCGGAGCUAACGCGUUAAAUCGACCGCCUGGGGAGUACGGCCGCAAGGUUAAAACUCAAAUGAAUUGACGGGGGCCCGCACAAGCGGUGGAGCAUGUGGUUUAAUUCGAUGCAACGCGAAGAACCUUACCUACUCUUGACAUCCAGAGAAUUUAGCAGAGAUGCUUUAGUGCCUUCGGGAACUCUGAGACAGGUGCUGCAUGGCUGUCGUCAGCUCGUGUUGUGAAAUGUUGGGUUAAGUCCCGCAACGAGCGCAACCCUUAUCCUUUGUUGCCAGCGAUUCGGUCGGGAACUCAAAGGAGACUGCCGGUGAUAAACCGGAGGAAGGUGGGGAUGACGUCAAGUCAUCAUGGCCCUUACGAGUAGGGCUACACACGUGCUACAAUGGCGUAUACAAAGAGAAGCGACCUCGCGAGAGCAAGCGGAACUCAUAAAGUACGUCGUAGUCCGGAUUGGAGUCUGCAACUCGACUCCAUGAAGUCAGAAUCGCUAGUAAUCGUAGAUCAGAAUGCUACGGUGAAUACGUUCCCGGGCCUUGUACACACCGCCCGUCACACCAUGGGAGUGGGUUGCAAAAGAAGUAGGUAGCUUAACCUUCGGGAGGGCGCUUACCACUUUGUGAUUCAUGACUGGGGUGAAGUCGUA
rnacentral:rRNA from 1 species